rnacentral:lncRNA from 1 species
GUUGUAUCUUCUAGUUGUGAGUGCCUCUGGUUGUGGCAUGUGGGACGCCGCCUCAAGCGUUGCCUGAUGAGCCGUGCCAUGUCCGCGCCCAGGAUCCCAACUAGCAAAACCCCCUGGAUGGGAAAGCGGAGCACGAACCCAAACACUUGCCCGUAGGCUGGCCCCCCAUCUGAACCAUUUUUGAGCAUAUGGUUCCGUGGUGUUGAGUACAUUCACAUUGUUGUCAGCCAUCUCCAGAACUCUUCAUCCUGCAGAACAGAAACUCUAGCCCUGUUGAAUAAAGACAACCAUUUCCCCCUCCUCCCAGCCUCUCUUAACCACGUUCUACUCUUUUUUUCUUCAUUCUUCCUUUUGCCUUUUUGUGCCUUUCUCCCUUUUCCUUUAUCUCUCCUUUUUCUUCCCCUCCCUCUUUCCGUCUUUCUCUUCUUAAAAGCCUGAUGGCCCCGAUUCACCCUUGCCAGCCCUCCACAGCCUCUGCCAGGGGCUGGGCCAGAGGCCUGUCAGCCAGGGCUGUGAGCGCGGGGAAGGAGCAUGUACUCAAAGACCCGGCCAGGAAGAAAGAUUUGAUCUCCCGGCAGGAUCCACUUCCCAUGGCGACGCCUUCUUGAGUCGAAGCUCUGAUCUUUUUGGUGAAUGCCUUGGAGGUUUGGGUUCAGUGGACUUUGACUGUGUGUCUCCAGAAAGCUCAGCACAUGCCUCCUGAAGCAGAUAUCCAGCCGGCUGAAGCUUGCUGCCGUGGAACCAAUCGUGAGACCGUUGCACAGUGGUGUCUGCGUGAGAUCAGUGCAAUACCGUGAAGAGUCCGCUUGAUUUGGGGGAAGUGCUCGCACAGCAGUCAAGAGGUCUAGAUCCUUUGGGCCUCUGCACCCAUGCUACUAGCUCCAUUUUACACAUGAAGAAAUGGAGGUUCAGAGAGGCGAAGUGACUUGCUCCAGGUCACACAGCUGCCAGGAGAAGAGCAAGCUGAGGUGCCUGGUCCCUGUCUGUGAGCGGCUGCCCCGGCAGAGAGAGCAGCUUCCCUUCUCCAUUCAUCCAAGGAAUGCCACUGAGCUGACUGCAGAGGCCAUCAGAGGCGGGCGUGUCCA